rfam:Myotis davidii contig323564, whole genome shotgun sequence.
CUUGGGGGAGGGUUCCUCAGCCCAGAUUGCGAGAAGAUGCAGGCCAGGCAGAGGGACCCCACCAGUGCACA